rnacentral:rRNA from 1 species
GAGUUUGAUCCUGGCUCAGAUUGAACGCUGGCGGCAUGCCUUACACAUGCAAGUCGAACGGCAGCACGGGAGCUUGCUCCUGGUGGCGAGUGGCGAACGGGUGAGUAAUGCAUCGGAACGUAUCCUGGAGUGGGGGAUAACGUAGCGAAAGUUACGCUAAUACCGCAUAUUCUGUGAGCAGGAAAGCGGGGGACCUUCGGGCCUCGCGCUCUUGGAGCGGCCGAUGUCGGAUUAGCUAGUUGGUGAGGUAAAGGCUCACCAAGGCGACGAUCCGUAGCAGGUCUGAGAGGAUGAUCUGCCACACUGGAACUGAGACACGGUCCAGACUCCUACGGGAGGCAGCAGUGGGGAAUUUUGGACAAUGGGGGCAACCCUGAUCCAGCCCAUGCCGCGUGAGUGAAGAAGGCCUCGG